UGUAAAGCAUCUGGAUAUAAAUUUACCAGCUAUGCAAUGCACUGGAUUUGACAAGCACCAGGGAAAGGACUGGAGUGGGUUGGAUGGAUUAGGACAGACAACUUUGAGACACGCUGUGCUAAGGUUCUGGAAGGUCGAGUCACCAUCACCGUGGACACCUCGAUCAGCACCACAUAUCUCCAGCUCUCCAGCUUAAAAGAAGAAGACACGGCUGUGUAUUACUGUGCAAGAUAA